rnacentral:rRNA from 1 species
AGAGUUUGAUCAUGGCUCAGAUUGAACGCUGGCGGCAGGCCUAACACAUGCAAGUCGAACGGUAACAGGAAGCAGCUUGCUGCUUCGCUGACGAGUGGCGGACGGGUGAGUAAUGUCUGGGAAGCUGCCUGAUGGAGGGGGAUAACUACUGGAAACGGUAGCUAAUACCGCAUAAUGUCGCAAGACCAAAGAGGGGGACCUUCGGGCCUCUUGCCAUCGGAUGUGCCCAGAUGGGAUUAGCUUGUUGGUGGGGUAACGGCUCACCAAGGCGACGAUCCCUAGCUGGUCUGAGAGGAUGACCAGCCACACUGGAACUGAGACACGGUCCAGACUCCUACGGGAGGCAGCAGUGGGGAAUAUUGCACAAUGGGCGCAAGCCUGAUGCAGCCAUGCCGCGUGUAUGAAGAAGGCCUUCGGGUUGUAAAGUACUUUCAGCGGGGAGGAAGGGAGUAAAGUUAAUACCUUUGCUCAUUGACGUUACCCGCAGAAGAAGCACCGGCUAACUCCGUGCCAGCAGCCGCGGUAAUACGGAGGGUGCAAGCGUUAAUCGGAAUUACUGGGCGUAAAGCGCACGCAGGCGGUUUGUUAAGUCAGAUGUGAAAUCCCCGGGCUCAACCUGGGAACUGCAUCUGAUACUGGCAAGCUUGAGUCUCGUAGAGGGGGGUAGAAUUCCAGGUGUAGCGGUGAAAUGCGUAGAGAUCUGGAGGAAUACCGGUGGCGAAGGCGGCCCCCUGGACGAAGACUGACGCUCAGGUGCGAAAGCGUGGGGAGCAAACAGGAUUAGAUACCCUGGUAGUCCACGCCGUAAACGAUGUCGACUUGGAGGUUGUGCCCUUGAGGCGUGGCUUCCGGAGCUAACGCGUUAAGUCGACCGCCUGGGGAGUACGGCCGCAAGGUUAAAACUCAAAUGAAUUGACGGGGGCCCGCACAAGCGGUGGAGCAUGUGGUUUAAUUCGAUGCAACGCGAAGAACCUUACCUGGUCUUGACAUCCACGGAAGUUUUCAGAGAUGAGAAUGUGCCUUCGGGAACCGUGAGACAGGUGCUGCAUGGCUGUCGUCAGCUCGUGUUGUGAAAUGUUGGGUUAAGUCCCGCAACGAGCGCAACCCUUAUCCUUUGUUGCCAGCGGUCCGGCCGGGAACUCAAAGGAGACUGCCAGUGAUAAACUGGAGGAAGGUGGGGAUGACGUCAAGUCAUCAUGGCCCUUACGACCAGGGCUACACACGUGCUACAAUGGCGCAUACAAAGAGAAGCGACCUCGCGAGAGCAAGCGGACCUCAUAAAGUGCGUCGUAGUCCGGAUUGGAGUCUGCAACUCGACUCCAUGAAGUCGGAAUCGCUAGUAAUCGUGGAUCAGAAUGCCACGGUGAAUACGUUCCCGGGCCUUGUACACACCGCCCGUCACACCAUGGGAGUGGGUUGCAAAAGAAGUAGGUAGCUUAACCUUCGGGAGGGCGCUUACCACUUUGUGAUUCAUGACUGGGGUGAAGUCGGAACAAGGUAACCGUAGGGGAACCUGCGGUAG